rnacentral:rRNA from 1 species
CAUAGCGACUAUCGUGGCAUAUCAAUAAGCGGAGGAAAAGAAACUAACAAGGAUUCCCCUAGUAACGGCGAGUGAAGCGGGAAGAGCUCAAAUUUGAGAUCUUAAAGGGUUUCCCUUUACGAAUUGUAGUUUAAAGAAGUGUUUUCUGUUGGAGUUUCGGUAAAAGUUCUUUGGAAUAGGACAUCAUAGAGGGUGAGAAUCCCGUAUUUGACCGUUACUUUCCAGCUGUGUGAUACACUUUCAAAGAGUCGGAUUGUUUGGGAAUGCAGUCCAAAAUGGGUGGUAAAUUUCAUCUAAAGCUAAAUAUUGGCGAGAGACCGAUAGCGAACAAGUACCGUGAGGGAAAGAUGAAAAGAACUUUGAAAAGAGAGUUAAACAGUACGUGAAAUUGUCAAAAGGGAAGCGUUUGACACCAGUGUUGUUUAGUUGAAAAUCAAUUCAAUAAUUUUUGAUUCUGAGUAGUAUUGACUUCAUCAGCUUGCUGCUUUCUUCUCAGAAAUUAUUGAAUGCACUUUUCAGUUAACAAGUCAACAUCAAUUUCUUUUGUUGUAAAAGGGUAAGAGGAAGGUGGCUUACGCUUCGGCGUCAAGUGUUUAUAGCCUUUUAUCCUCUGCAAUCGGAGAGAUUGAGGUACUAGCAGCGUAGACUCCUUCGGGGGUUAGAUACACUUGUGCUAAGCUAUAGCCUUGUAUAGACAACUUGUUGACUAUGCUCAGUCAUGUAGCUUACUCGCUUAUGCUAUUUUACCUACGCUUAGGAUGUUGACGCGCGUGUGUGCGU